rnacentral:rRNA from 1 species
CAAUAGCGUAUAUUUAAGUUGCUGCAGUUAAAAAGCUCGUAGUUGGAUUUCGGGGUGGCCUGCCUGGUCCACCGCAAGGUGAGUACUGGUCAGCCGCCCUUCCUCUCGAAAGCCCCGACUGCUCUUCAUUGCAGUGGUCGGGUAGUUCGGGACGUUUACUUUGAAAAAAUUAGAGUGUUCAAGGCAGGCCGUCGCCUGAAUACAUUAGCAUGGAAUAAUGGAAGAGGACCUCGGUCCUAUUUUGUUGGUUUCUAGGGCCGAAGUAAUGAUUAAGAGGGACAGUUGGGGGCAUUCGUAUUUAAUUGUCAGAGGUGAAAUUCUUGGAUUUAUGAAAGACGAACUAGUGCGAAAGCAUUUGCCAAGGAUGUUUUCAUUAA